rnacentral:sRNA from 1 species
UUUUAGCCCCGAUAGCAGUGAAAAUCCUUUUACUUUUUUCUUUAAAAAGUAAAAGAUUGCAGCGGAUAGCGGGAUUAGCU